rnacentral:rRNA from 1 species
UGUGAACGCUGGCGGUAGGCCUAACACAUGCAAGUCGAACGGCCGCACAGUAAGAGCUUGCUCUUACGGGUGGCGAGUGGCGGACGGGUGAGGCAUACAUCGGAAUCUACUUUUUCGUGGGGGAUAACGUAGGGACACUUACGCUAAUACCGCAUACGACCUACGGGUUAAAGCAGGGGAUCUUCGGACCUUGCGCGAUUGAAUGAGCCGAUGUCGGAUUAGCUAGUUGGCGGGGUAAAGGCCCACCAAGGCAACGAUCCGUAGCUGGUCUGAGAGGAUGAUCAGCCACACUGGAACUGAGACACGGUCCAGACUCCUACGGGAGGCAGCAGUGGGGAAUAUUGGACAAUAGGCGCAAGCCUGAUCCAGCCAUACCGCGUGAGUGAAGAAGGCCUUCGGAUUGUAAAGCCCUGUUGUUGGGAAAGAAAAGCAGCAGGUUAAUACCCCGCUGUUCUGACGGUACCCAAAGAAUAAGCACCGGCUAACUUCGUG